GGCUCUUUGAAAUAAAUAGAUAAAGAGUCGAACCUGCCCAGUGAUUUAUUUAAACGGCCGCGGUACUCUGACCGUGCAAAGGUAGCAUAAUCAUUUGCCCUAUAAUUGAGGGCUUGUAUGAACGGUUUGACAAGAGCAUAACUGUCUCUUAAAAAUUUUAUAGAAUUUGGUUUUUAGGUGAAGAAACCUAAAUAUAAUUGAAAGACAAGAAGACCCUAUCGAGCUUUAGAGUAAUUAAUUAAAAAGUAUGAUUAAAAUAAUUAAUUUUAGUUAAAAACUUUGGUUGGGGCGACUGAGGAACAUAUAAAGCUUCUUUUAUUAAAAUAUGCCUAUAAGCUAUGAUCCAAAAAAUUUGAUUAAAAAAAUUAGUUACCGUAGGGAUAACAGCAUAAUCUUUUUCAAGAGUUCUUAUCGAAAAAAAGGUUUGUGACCUCGAUGUUGGACUAGGAUAUCUUAAAGAUGCAGAAGUCUUUAAAAGUUGGUCUGUUCGACCAUUAAAAUCCU
rnacentral:rRNA from 1 species